GAAAGAUUUAUCGCUUUAAGAUUGGCCCGCGGAAGAUUAGGUAGUUGGUGGGGUAAAGGCCUACCAAGCCGACGAUCUAUAGCUGGUCUGAGAGGACGAACAGCCACAUUGGAACUGAGACACGGUCCAGACUCCUACGGGAGGCAGCAGUGAGGAAUAUUGGGCAAUGGAGGAAACUCUGACCCAGCCAUGCCGCGUGAGUGAAGAAGGUUUUCGAAUUGUAAAGCUCUUUCGGAUGUGAAGAUGAUGACGGUAACAUCUAAAGAAGCCCCGGCAAACUUCGUGCCAGCAGCCGCGGUAAUACGAAGGGGGCAAGCGUUGUUCGGAAUUACUGGGCGUAAAGGGUGUGUAGGCGGGAAAGUAAGAUAGUGGUGAAAUGCCUGAGCUCAACUUGGGAACUGCCAUUAUAACUAUUUUUCUAGAGUGACAGAGAGGAUAUUGGAAUACCCAGUGUAGAGGUGAAAUUCGUAGAUAUUGGGUAGAACACCGGAGGCGAAGGCGAGUAUCUGGCUGUCAACUGACGCUGAGGCACGAAAGCAUGGGGAUCAAACAGGAUUAGAUACCCUGGUAGUCCA
rnacentral:rRNA from 1 species